rnacentral:rRNA from 1 species
CGUAGGGGGCAAGCGUUAUCCGGAAUUAUUGGGCGUAAAGAGUGCGUAGGUGGUUUUGUAAGCGCGAGGUGAAAGGCUAUGGCUCAACCAUAGUAAGCCUUGCGAACUGUAAGACUUGAGUGCAGGAGAGGAAAGUGGAAUUCCUAGUGUAGCGGUGAAAUGCGUAGAUAUUAGGAGGAACACCAGUGGCGAAGGCGACUUUCUGGACUGUAACUGACACUGAGGCACGAAAGCGUGGGGAGCAAACAGGAUUAGAUACCCUGGUAGUCCACGCCGUAAACGAUGAGCACUAGGUGUCGGGGUCGCAAGGCUUCGGUGCCGCAGUUAACGCAUUAAGUGCUCCGCCUGGGGAGUACGCACGCAAGUGUG